rnacentral:rRNA from 1 species
AGGAUGGGACUGCGUCCGAUCAGGCUGUUGGCGGGGUAAUGGCACACCAAACCUGUAACCGGUACGGGCCUUGAGAGAGGUGGCCCGGAGAUGGACACUGAGAGAAGGGUCCAGGUCCUACGGGGCGCAGCAGGCGCGAAACCUUCGCAAUGCGCGAAAGCGUGACGAGGUUAAUCCGAGUGACUCCCGCUGAGGGGGUCUUUUGUCAGCUGUAAAUAGGCAGGCGAAUAAGGGGAGGGCAAGCCUGGUGUCAGCCGCCGCGGUAAUACCAGCUCCUCGAGUGGUCGGGGCGAUUAUCGGGCCUAAAGCAUCCGUAGCCGGUUCCGUAGGUCCUCUGUUAAAUCCAACCGCUUAACGGUUGACCUGCAGAGGAUACCGCGGGACUAGGAGGCGGGAGAGGCGGACGGUACUCCGCGUGUAGGGGUAAAAUCCUUUGAUCCGCGGAAGACCACCAGUGGCGAAGGCGGUCCGCCAGAACGCGCUCGACGGUGAGGGAUGAAAGCUGGGGGAGCGAACCGGAUUAGAUACCCGGGUAGUCCCAGCCGUAAACGAUGCUAGCUAGAUGAUUCAUUCGCAAGUCGCGAAUGAAGUGUCGCAGGGAAGCCGUUAAGCUAGCCGCCUGGGGAGUACGGUCGCAAGACUGAAACUUAAAGG